rnacentral:rRNA from 1 species
GUCUACGGCCAUGCCACCCUGAACGUGCCCGAUGUCGUCUGAUCUCUGAAGCUAAGCAGGGUCGGGCCUGGUUAGUACUUGGAAUAUUAUUUAGCCAUAGAAA